rnacentral:rRNA from 1 species
AUUGCACGCUAGCGGGAUGCUUUACACAUGCAAGUCGAACGAGUGGCGGACGGGUGAGUAAUAUAUCGGAACGUGCACAGUAGCGGGGGAUAACUACUCGAAAGAGUGGCUAAUACCGCGUACUAUUGGAGCGGCCGAAAUCGGAUUAGAUAGUUGGUGGGGUAAAGGCUCACCAAGGCAAAGAUCCGUAGCUGGUUUGAGAGGACGACCAGCCACACUGGGACUGAGACACGGCCCAGACUCCUACGGGAGGCAGCAGUGGGGAAUUUUGGGCAAUGGGGGAAACCCUGAUCCAGCCAUCCCGCGUGAAUGAGAAGGCCUUCGGGUUGUAAAGUACUUUUGGCAGAGAAGCGGUAUCUGCAGAAUAAGCACCGGCUAACUACGUGCCAGCAGCCGCGGUAAUUC